AUGUCACCCCGGGCCGCCGGCGACCGCCGCGAGAGCGAGACCCUAGCCAAGGUCUCCCUAUCGUCGGUCUCGGCCGCCGCGGCGGAGGUCUCAACCUUCCCCCUCGACGCCCUCAAGACGCGCCUCCAGCUCCGCCGCAGCACCGGUGGUGGUGGUGGUAGCGGCGGUGGCGUCUUACGCGUCGCGGGCGAGCUCGUCCGCGACGGGGGGUUCUACCGGGGCCUCUCCCCCGCCGUCCUCCGGCACCUCUUCUACACGCCGCUCCGCAUCGUCGGCUACGAGCACCUCCGGUCCUCCCUUGCCAGCGGGGGCCGGGAGGUGGGCCUCCUCGAGAAAGCGAUUGCUGGGGGAGCCUCCGGCGUCGCCGCGCAGGUGGUGGCAAGUCCAGCUGAUCUCAUAAAGGUAAGGAUGCAAGCAGACAGCAGAUUGUUGACCCAAGGCAUUCGACCUCGGUAUACAGGAAUCUUAGAUGCCUUCACGAAAAUCACUCGUGCAGAAGGUUUGUUAGGACUUUGGAAGGGGGUUGGUCCUAAUGCCCAGCGAGCAUUUCUUGUCAACAUGGGCGAGUUGACCUGCUACGACCAGGCAAAGCAUUUCAUCAUCCGCAAGCAGAUCUGCGACGACAAUCUGUAUGCUCACACACUGGCCUCUGUUGCCUCUGGUCUGUCUGCAACUACAUUGAGCUGCCCAGCGGAUGUGAUCAAAACCAGGAUGAUGAACCAGGGCCUGGAGGCGAAGGCUCUGUACAGGAAUUCUUAUGAUUGUUUGGUCAAGACCGUCAAACAUGAGGGCCUAACAGCAUUGUGGAAGGGUUUCUUACCUACAUGGGCCAGGCUUGGCCCAUGGCAGUUUGUGUUCUGGGUUUCCUACGAAAAACUCCGACAGGCAUCAGGUAUUUCUUCGUUCUGA
rnacentral:rRNA from 1 species